ensembl:lncRNA
GGAAUUAAUACUGGGGAGGGGAGGGAGAAGGAGUGUCAGGUGUUGAGUGGGCAAGUCAGACCAGCUGUGGGAAUUACAGUUAUUGUCACUGGAGACAACACAGCCCUGACCUCCAGUAUAAGCUGCUGGAAGAUAUUAACACCUAAUUAUCAAGCCAGGGGUGCAUCUUACACCUUAAUCACUGGUGAGGUGAGACUGACAAAAAAGAGGAAGGGAGGUGUUUUCCAUGUUCCUUUCAGCAAGCAUCCAUCCUCUAACAGGGGGUCAUCACUUGCAGCAAAUGACAAUUUCCUUUUAGCCCUUUCAGUCUAUAGAAAAGCACAGUAACUUCAUUUGCUAGCAGGUAGGCAGUGGAGGUGAGAAUCGGAUUGAUCUGAAAUUGACCCUGAGGUCACUGCCUCCUUUAAAUUGGGUGCUACAGACAAAGUUUCUUUUCUUCUUCUCUGGCUCCUGCCAGCAGCCAAGCAGAGUCCUCAGUCAUUGGGGCGGGAGGUGGGGAGAGUGUUAGCAAUUAUUUAAAGGGAUUCUGACACCAGGGUUGAACCCCUACCCCAAACUUAAUCCAAGUGGAGACCUUUUUUUUUUUUUUUUUUAACCGAUGGUGGUUAAUUAAAGGGGCCUCCCCCCAUGGUGUGCCUCUGGCUUGUUUAUAUUUUAAAAUGAGGUUCAUUCCUGAUGCACAAGAAAUGGCAGGGGGGAAGCUGACAGUCGGGGUCUCUUACUGGGCUGACUUGAAGAAAUAGGGAAUAGAAUUUCCUGUUUCCUUUUACAUUUUUUCUUCCUUAUUUCACCCCGCCCCCCCCAACUCCCCCACUUCAAAGUCCUUUCAAAGCAUCUUGGGGUGCAUAGAUACGCCUGACAGUGCUGGAAAUGCUGCACUGCUUUUCAGAAGGCCAGGGGACUCUGCUGGGCACGCAGGCCUGGCCUCGCUCUCCGCCCAGCGGUGAGGGUCGCCAAGAGGGAGCAGAAAUCCCUUUCACCGAUUUUGAUCUUCUGGACCGCAGUUGAGAAGCGCUGUCUCGUUCCUUCGCUUCAGUGGGUAGUGCCUACUGGCGGUUCUGUCCUGAUGCCCAAAGACUAUUGCGUUAUUCAUUUUCCCCAGACUUUCCCUGCCCCCUUUUUUUCUCCUUCUCUUUUUCUCCGUUUAAAGUCUCAAAGCGAAGCAGUUCCUCACCACUGCGUCGUAGAAGGAAAGCGCACGUGCUUGUUUGGAGAUCUGGACCAGAGCUCUCCCUUCCAGGGAAGGAGCAGUGGUUUGGGACGGGACAGGCUUUCUGGAAGCCUCGGGGCUGCUGGGCUGCCCGGGAGGAGACCUCCCAGCAACGGCUGGAGAUCCAUCACACCUGCGCAAGCAAGGCCCCGGGGCAUCACUUUCUUUCCCAGGAGGCAAGGCCUUCCCACGUGUUUCCCACGUGCUCAGCGCUCUGCUGGUCCAGUGAAGCCCGUGGACCCAAAAUGCGCUGCUUUCAGAGUCUUCCCCAGCUGAGUUGUUGGGGAUAAAAUUCUUGGUAAAAAAUGGGAUGCGUUUGAAACACUCUGGUCUCCAUGGGGACCCUGGUUAAUUAAGAUGUUACCUCUGUUGGCGCUCCAAUUUGUUUCCCCUACCUGACCAGCCCGGUGGAAAACGCCCCAAGGUUGGUGUAACCAAAUGGCACGUGACCCGUACGUGCGGUAAACCCGCCCUACACGUGUGUGGGCGGAGAACCAGCUCCACUCCUAAACUCUGCUGAGAGGUCUUGAGUUGCAGCGUUUGGGCCUCGAAAUCGGGUUCCUGCUCCAGAGCAAGGGGUUCCCUAGUGCUCCAGAACUUGGAGCUUUCAGCAGCGGCAAGCACUGUGACGGUCACCGGCUCCCCACAGGAAAAAAAAAAAAAAAUGUGGCUGCGCUGGUCCUAGUGGUGGCGUGCGGGGUCUUGGAUCUUCGUGCUGCGUGUGGGAUCUUGAGUCACAGCUGGCAGAUUCUUAGUUGUGGCCUGUGGAAUCUAGUUCCCUGACCGGGGAUCGAGCCCACGCCCCCUGCUUUGGGAACGCAGAGUCUUAGCCACUGGACCACGGGGGACGUCCCUCAUGUUGUUUUUAAAAUGGAACAGAACAUAAAUGCUUUGAAGCCACUCAUGAAGAAUAGCCCUCUUACCCCAGCAGCAGGGAGACCGAGUCCAGCAGACCUGUCGUAGUUGGGUCAACAGCAGGGCCGGUGGACCCCUGCCGGCCCCAGGGCGGGUGCUGCUCCUCCUGCGUGUCUUGUCUGAGUGAGUUGGUACUUUCGACCGAGGGGCUCUUGCGAGAGGAACUAGCGGGAGAGUCUGUGACACACAUUUCACUGAAAUUAAAAAUUGCGGUGGCGAUGGCAAUUAUUUUGAAUUAUCCUCAGAAUGAUUAAGAAAAUGAUACCCUUAAAUAAAUG